rnacentral:lncRNA from 10 species
AUAUCUGCAUUAAAAAAAAUGGUUCACAUUCAUUUUUGGCAGCUGGAUCGCAAACAAAAUGAAAACUUAGGCCCAAGAACUCCUUCCUGUUUCUCAUGUGCUUCAAUUCCUCUCUUUCUUCAGAUCCUGUGCAUGUCCACGGAGCGUUUCUGAUCCAGCUCCCCGUUUUUAAUAAGGAACUCUUCAACAAGAAAUAAACUCCCUCUACUCAUUCAUGGUUCCACCUCAGUUUUAUGAACAGACAAGUGCACAAGCUGGUCCCAAAUAAUGAUGUGUCUGGUAACACAAGAGACCAGAGGAACAUGUUAUAUGACACCUGGGGAUGUAAUCAGCAAAAUCCAGACUGGGGAACUCAACAGACAGAAGACUUCAUUUCCAUCACACAUAAAUAGAGACAAUGAGAGAGAGGACUUAUAGAUCAAAAGAUUCAUAUAAACUAAUUACAAUGUAUGUGUACAUCAUAUUUGGAUUCCGAUUUGAUAGCAUAUCUGUUAAAAAAAUAAACAUUGGGGAAAUUUGAACAUUCACUGGAUGCUUGAUGUCAUUAAAGUCAUUUAAAUU